CGGGUGGUAAUGCCGGAUGUUCCAGUUGAUCGCAUGGUCUUCUGGGAAAGCUUUCGCGGUAUGGGAUGGGGUCGCGUCCUAUCAGCUUGACGGCGGGGUAACGGCCCACCGUGGCUUCGACGGGUAGCCGGCCUGAGAGGGCGACCGGCCACAUUGGGACUGAGAUACGGCCCAGACUCCUACGGGAGGCAGCAGUGGGGAAUAUUGCACAAUGGGCGCAAGCCUGAUGCAGCGACGCCGCGUGAGGGAUGGAGGCCUUCGGGUUGUAAACCUCUUUUAUCGGGGAGCAAGCGUGAGUGAGUUUACCCGUUGAAUAAGCACCGGCUAACUACGUGCCAGCAGCCGCGGUAAUACGUAGGGUGCAAGCGUUAUCCGGAAUUAUUGGGCGUAAAGGGCUCGUAGGCGGUUCGUCGCGUCCGGUGUGAAAGUCCAUCGCUUAACGGUGGAUCCGCGCCGGGUACGGGCGGGCUUGAGUGCGGUAGGGGAGACUGGAAUUCCCGGUGUAACGGUGGAAUGUGUAGAUAUCGG
rnacentral:rRNA from 2 species